AUGCAGUCGAACGCACCUUUCGGGGUGAGUGGCAGACGGGUGAGUAACACGUGGGAACGUACCCUCCGGUUCGGGAUAACUCAGGGAAACUUGAGCUAAUACCGGAUACGCCCUUUGGGGGAAAGGUUUACUGCCGAAGGAUCGGCCCGCGUCUGAUUAGCUAGUUGGUGGGGUAAUGGCCUACCAAGGCGACGAUCAGUAGCUGGUCUGAGAGGAUGAUCAGCCACACUGGGACUGAGACACGGCCCAGACUCCUACGGGAGGCAGCAGUGGGGAAUAUUGGACAAUGGGCGCAAGCCUGAUCCAGCCAUGCCGCGUGAGUGAUGAAGGCCUUAGGGUUGUAAAGCUCUUUCGACGGGGACGAUAAUGACGGUACCCGUAGAAGAAGCCCCGGCUAACUUCGUGCCAGCAGCCGCGGUAAUACGAAGGGGGCUAGCGUUGCUCGGAAUCACUGGGCGUAAAGGGCGCGUANGCGGCCAUUCAAGUCAGGGGUGAAAGCCCGAGGCUCAACCUCGGAACUGCCUUUGAUACUGUUU
rnacentral:rRNA from 1 species